rnacentral:rRNA from 1 species
CCCUUAGAUGUUCUGGGCCGCACGCGCACUACACUGAUGCAUUCAACGAGUCUAAAACCUGCUCUGAUAGGGGUGGGUAAUCUUUUGAAUGUGCAUCGUGAUUGGGAUAGAUGAUUGAAAUUUUUCAUCUUCAACGAGGAAUGCCUAGUAAACGCAAGUCAUCAGCUUGCAUUGAUUACGUCCCUGCCCUUUGUACACACCGCCCGUCGCUCCUACCGAUUGAAUGAUCCGAUGAAUAUCAUGGAUUGAGGAUGCAAGUAGGUUCACCUAUCUUCAUCUUCGAGAAGUGAAGUAAAUCUUAUCAUUUAGAGGAAGGAGAAGUCGUAACA